CUUACCUGUGCACACUAGGUGAAGGGGCCAGAGAUCUUCAGCGACACCCGCGAAGGGUCACGGGCCUCUGCCCGUGGCCCAUAGUAGCCAGAGUUAUUAUCUCUCACACGUGUUCUACACGAUUCCUAGACUUUCGUUCCAUAGCCAGUUACCAUGCCGAAACAUGCAGACUUUAACAAUAAACUGAGUUAAAAGCAAUCCCGGAUUUUGAACCUUUCCUUGAAGAAAUACGUAAUAAUUUGGUGAUCCUGACGUUCUUGGAAAAGUUCUACCGAGACUCUAACCACGCGGUCGUCGAGAUGCAAUACAAGCUGGAUGCAGGCGCCAUUGAAAGGAACUUGAACAACGCUCGAGUCCUGUUCUCGACAGAUGGAAAACGGACCCAUCCCCCUCUCCACUAGGACCUGAGCUCAUCUCCACCAGCAGAUCCUAGCUUCCGCUAGUUCACUCUGUGUUAGUCUUGUCUGUCCCUGUUUGUCUCUGUCUCAGUGUUUCAUGUGCGGGGGCGUGGCCACGCAGUUCCAGCUGUUCCAGCCACGCUGAUCACCCGCACCCGACAGUAAUUUCCAAUCAGGACCCAGCAUAUAUACCCCAGCCUUCCAAACAUUUUUCGCCGGAUCGUCAGUUCUACUUACCCGUCAUCUCCACCACGUCCAUUCUCCAACCCUGCUCUGCUGCCGGAGUUCCAUCUGCACCGUGUCGUCGGGUGUGGUUGUCGGCUCGGCUGCCUGCUGACUCCUCUAAUCCCGGUUCGGGCCUCCCGGCACGUGGACCGCCACCACCUGCACCACCUUUAACCAUCCGUGUAAACCAGUCAAUUGCUAUCGUCCUCGUCUGUGGUCAGUUGUGCCGUGCGUUUGGGUCCACCCUGUCUUGAGCCGUAACACUAACCUUUUUUCUAACGCUGAACAACUGCCUUGACGACUUUCAGUGCAGCCUUUGACACUGUGGACCACACCAUAUUACUUCAGCAACUUGAGCACUGGGUUGGCUUCACUGGUGUUGUAAUCAGGUGUCUUAAAUCCUACCUAUGAGACAGGAGCUUCUCUGUUACAGUUGGAAACUGGUCCUCAGCAUCUACAUCUUUGACCUGUGGAGUUCUCCAGGCUCAAUCUUGGGUCCACUAUUAUUUAACCUUUACAUGCUGCCACUUGGUCAACUUAAUAAUAAUAAGGCAUUUUAUUUAUGGGUUCCUUUCUUGACACUCAAGGUCACCUUACAAAAUCAAACAUCCAUAGUAG
ensembl:lncRNA